UAAGGAAUAUUGGCCAAUGGAGGCAACUCUGAACCAGCCAUGCCGCGUGCAGGAAGAAGGCCCUAUGGGUCGUAAACUGCUUUUGAACAAGAGAAAACCCCGGUACGUGUACUGGGUUGAUAGUAUUGUUAGAAUAAGCAUCGGCUAACUUCGUGCCAGCAGCCGCGGUAAGACGAAGGAUGCAAGCGUUAUCCGGAUUCAUUGGGUUUAAAGGGUGCGUAGGCGGACUGAUAAGUCAGUGGUGAAAUCUCUCGGCUUAACCGAGAAACUGCCAUUGAUACUGUUAGUCUAGAGUACAGAUGAUGUGGGCGGAAUAUGACAUGUAGUGGUGAAAUACUUAGAUAUGUCAUAGAACACCGAUUGCGAAGGCAGCUCACAAAACUGUAACUGACGCUGAGGCACGAAAGUGCGGGGAUCAAACAGGAUUAGAUACCCAGGUAGUCCCUGAGCGGGCUGGCAAGGCGCAU
rnacentral:rRNA from 1 species